rnacentral:rRNA from 1 species
GUGGGGAAUAUUGGACAAUGGGCGAAAGCCUGAUCCAGCAAUGCCGCGUGAGUGAUGAAGGCCUUAGGGUUGUAAAGCUCUUUUACCAGGGAUGAUAAUGACAGUACCUGGAGAAUAAGCUCCGGCUAACUCCGUGCCAGCAGCCGCGGUAAUACGGAGGGAGCUAGCGUUGUUCGGAAUUACUGGGCGUAAAGCGCGCGUAGGCGGCUCAGCAAGUCAGGGGUGAAAUCCCGGGGCUCAACCCCGGAACUGCCUUUGAAACUGCUAGGCUAGAAUCCUGGAGAGGCGAGUGGAAUUCCGAGUGUAGAGGUGAAAUUCGUAGAUAUUCGGAAGAACACCAGUGGCGAAGGCGACUCGCUGGACAGGUAUUGACGCUGAGGUGCGAAAGCGUGGGGAGCAAACAGGAUUAGAAACCCGAGUAGUCC